GUUUUGAGUGAAACAGUCACUUCGUUGCUCUCCAUAGGCAUUUCGCAGGGGUGCGACACUCCACUUUUAUCGACUCUCUGGGUGACAAAGAAUCCGAAUUUCAGAUUCAAGAUGGUUGCUGAAAAAUAUGCCAACGCUGAGCCCGAGCUCAAGAAGGAAUUGAAGGCGAUUGCGGAAAAAAUCAUUUUAACCGGCAAGGGUAUCCUGGCCGUGGAUGAAUCACCUGCCGAUAUGGGUGAACGUCUACGAGCUGUGAAUGUCGAAAACACCGAAGAAAAUCGCAGAGCUUGGCGCCAGCUACUUUUCACCGCCAAUAAGGACGUAAUGAGCCAGCACAUCUCGGGGGUGAUUCUCUAUCACGAGACGCUUUACCAAAAUUCCGACGAUGGUACCCCGUUCGUCGAGCUUCUUCGACAACGCGACAUCAUCCCUGGUAUCAAGGUCGACACGGGCCUCGUGCCCCUCUUCGGCACCACAGACGAACACACGGCCCAAGGUCUUGACGACCUCCAGGCACGCUGCAUCCAGUACAAGAAGGACGGAUGCGACUUCGCCAAGUGGCGUUGCGCAUUCAAGAUCACAAAGGACACCCCCAGCAAACUCGCCAUCUUGGAGAACGCGAAUGUCCUCGCACGCUACGCGAGCAUCUGCCAAAGCGCACGUAUCGUUCCCAUUGUCGAGCCGGAUAUCCUUUCCGAUGGGGACCAUGACCUCGCCCGAUGCCAACAGGUCACGGAAGAAGUACUAGCCGCUGUGUACAAGGCCCUUUCCGACCACCACGUUUAUCUCGAAGGAACACUUCUAAAGCCUAACAUGGUAACACCAGGGCAAAGCUGCCCGAAGAAGGCUUCGCCCCAGGAGAUCGCUGCGGCGACUGUUACAGCUUUUCAGCGCACAGUGCCAGUAGCAGUUCCCGGCAUUGUCUUCCUCAGCGGCGGACAAUCCGAGGAGGAUGCUUCGGUGAACCUUGACGCCAUAAACAAAAUGGUCGCUGAAAAAUACGCCAGCGCUGAGCCCGAGCUCAAGCAGGAGCUCAAGGCGAUCGCCGAGAAAAUUGUUUCAACCGGCAAGGGUAUCCUGGCCGCAGAUGAGUCGACGACCACCAUUGGCAAGCGUCUUCAGGACAUCAACGUUGAAAAUAACGAAGUCAAUCGCAAGGCUUACCGUCAGCUGCUUUUCACCACCGAUAAGGAGGUGAUCAGCCAGCACGUUUCCGGCGUGAUUCUCUUCCACGAGACUCUCUACCAGAAGGCCGACGACGGUACCCCGUUCGUCGAGCUUCUUCGUCAGCGCAACAUCAUCCCCGGCAUCAAGGUCGACAAGGGCGUCGUUCCCCUAUUCGGCACCAAAGACGAAUGCACCACCCAGGGUCUCGACGACCUCCAGGCACGCUGCAUCCAGUACAAGAAGGACGGAUGCGACUUCGCCAAGUGGCGUUGCGUCCUCAAGAUCACCAAGGACACCCCAAGCAAACUCGCCAUCUUGGAGAACGCUAACGUCCUCGCACGCUACGCCAGCAUCUGUCAGAGCGCACGCAUCGUUCCCAUCGUCGAACCGGAAAUCCUUCCCGACGGUGACCACGAUCUUGCUCGUUGCCAACAGGUCACUGAAGAAGUACUCGCCGCCGUAUACAAGGCCCUCUCCGACCACCACGUUUACCUCGAGGGAACACUUUUGAAACCGAACAUGGUUACUCCCGGUCAAAGCUGCCCGAAAAGGGCUUCGCCCCAGGAAAUCGCCGCCGCGACUGUAACGGCGCUCCAGCGCACCGUGCCACCUGCAGUCACUGGUGUCACCUUCCUGAGCGGUGGACAAUCGGAGGAGGAGGCUUCUGUCAACCUUGACGCUAUCAACAAGUUCCCCGGCAAGAAACCCUGGGCUCUGACCUUCAGCUACGGACGUGCUCUUCAGGCUUCCGUCCUCCGUGCAUGGGCUGGCAAACCGGAACAAAUCGUGGCCGGACAACAGGAACUGAUCAAGAGAGCCAAGGCAAACGGCGCAGCUUGUCAAGGCAAAUACGUUGCGGGCAGUAUUUCCAGUAAAGCUGCAGAUUCUUCGCUCUUCGUCAAAUCACACGCCUACUAAUUUUUACGACAACUCCUUCCGUUCCGCACCGUAACUCUAUGUCGCAAGCACGCAGUAAGCCAACAGCGACGCGGCUCAAGGAAAAUACGCUGGUGGAGUAGCCGGAGUAGCGGGUGACGCUGGUCUUUUCGUAGCCAAUCACGCGUACUAAAAUCACUUUAUAAAAACACUAUCAAAAACACAGUUGCUGAAUAUUACCUCGCACAGUCAUCGCCACGAAAUCCGCGGAAGAGGAAGUAAUUUAUUACAUUAAAAAUAUAGAAGUAUCGGCACGAGAGCAAACGACGAAAUGUAAGAAAAAACGAAAACAUCGAUGAUUUAUAGGAGUAACAGAAAAAUAAAAGAAGUACAUGUACUUGGAGUUGAAAGAGAAUAUAAAGAAUACGAAAAGUUUCGAUGCAUGAUUAUUAUAAAGCUUGAAUGUCACCUCGUCGUCAUGCCCAGCGCUUGAUCGCACGUCAAUAACUAUUCCAAAGUUCUACGCUAUCGUUGACGCAGUUAUGAAAUGAUAUGUACGUAUUAUUAUUAUUAUAUGCAACAGGAUACGAUGUGUUAAUAAAUGUUAUAGUUCGUGUGAUAACA